UACGGGGGGGGGUAAGCGUUGUUCGGAAUUACUGGGCGUAAAGGGCUCGUAGGCGGCCAACUAAGUCAUACGUGAAAUCCCUCAGCUUAACUGGGGAACUGCGUGUGAUACUGGAUGGCUUGGAUGUGGGAGAGGGAUGCGGAAUUCCAGGUGUAGCGGUGAAAUGCGUAGAUAUCUGGAGGAACACCGGUGGCGAAGGCGGCAUCCUGGACCAUUAUUGACGCUGAGGAGCGAAAGCCA
rnacentral:rRNA from 1 species